GCAAUAACAGGUCUGUGGCAAUAACAGGUCUGUGAUGCCCUUAGAUGUUCUGGGCCGCACGCGCGCUACACUGAUGCAUUCAACGAGCCUAGCCUUGACCGAGAGGUCCGGGUAAUCUUUGAAACUGCAUCGUGAUGGGGAUAGAUUAUUGCAAUUAUUAAUCUUCAACGAGGAAUGCCUAGUAAGCGCAAGUCAUCAGCUUGCGUUGAUUACGUCCCUGCCCUUUGUACACACCGCCCGUCGCUCCUACCGAUUGGGUGUGCUGGUGAAGUGUUCGGAUUGGCGACCGGGGGCGGUCUCCGCUCUCGGCCGCCGAGAAGUUCAUUAAACCCUCCCACCUAGAGGAAGGAGAAGUCGUAACAAGGUUUCCGUAGGUGAACCUGCGGAAGGAUCAUUGAAUCGAUCGAAUCCACCCUGGUAACUAUCAUCCCCUGCUUGGCAGCAAUGUCAUGCGGGCGCCGGUCCCCUGGUUGGGGCUCCUCGGAGCCGCAUCUAGGUCCGGCGGGCCCUUCUCCCCCGGGUGUCUCCUCUCUCCAUAAACCCAUUGGRAUCUUUUCCAGUGGGCGGCGUGAGGUGCCUCGUGGGGCUGCGGUGGUCGAUAAUUUAUAUUCAACUCAACCCACCCCAAACCUCAACUCACUCUGAAGCUGUCUAGUGUGUGCGCUCCGGUGCCUCACUCUAACCAAUGACAACUCUCAACAACGGAUAUCUUGGCUCCCGUAUCGAUGAAGAACGCAGCGAAAUGCGAUACGUARUGUGAAUUGCAGAAUUCCGUGAACCAUCGAAUCUUUGAACGCAAAUUGCGCCCGAGGCUUCGGCCAAGGGCAUGUCUGCCUCAGCGUCGGCUUACACCCUCGCCCUCCCCCUCCUUUGGAGGGGUAUGGGCGGACCUGGCCUUCCCGGCUCCUUGUCGAUUUAUCGGCGAGCCCGGGUCGGCUGAAGUGUAGAGGCUUGAGCAUGGACCCCGUUUGUAGGGCAAUGGCUUGGUAGGUAGCUCCGCUACAUAGCCUGCCGUGGCCCGAGGGGACUUUGCUGGCGGCCCCGCAGGAAUUCGGUGUGUGGUCUCUCCUUUCGAGGGGCGGCCGCCCCGAAUGUCUCACACCUUCGACCUGAGCUCAGGCAAGACUACCCGCUGAACUUAAGCAUAUCAAUAAGCGGAGGAAAAGAAACUAACUAGGAUGCCCUUAGUAACGGCGAGCGAACCGGGCAAAGCCCAACUUGAAAAUCUCCAGCCUCCGGCUGGCGAAUUGUAGUCUAGAGAAGUGCUCUCUGUCUCAGUCCGGUCCCAAGUCCCCUGGAAAGGGGCGUCAGAGAGGGUGAGAACCCCGUUGGGACUGGAGCCUGAGGCUCCACGAGACGCUUUCGAAGAGUCGGGUUGCUUGGGAAUGCAGCCCAAAGCAGGUGGUAAAUCCCAUCUAAGGCUAAAUACAGACGGGAGACCGAUAGCGAACAAGUACCGUG
rnacentral:rRNA from 1 species